GAAGAAGAGAGAAUCUCAAGCAGGCUCCAUGCUCAGUGCAGAGUCCAUCUUUGGGAUCAUAACCUGAGCCGAUAUCAAGAGUUGGAUGCCAACUGACUGAGCCACCCCGGCACCCAAGCAAAUACUUUAGAUCAUUAAACUAAAUUAAGAAGUUGUGCUGAUCAGGGGCGCCUGGGUGGCUCAGUCGGUUGAGCAUCUGACUUCAGCUCAGGUUAUGAGCUCCCGGUUUGUGAGUUCAAUACCGGCGUCAGGAUCCGUGCUGUCAGCUCGCAGCCUGGAGCCUGCUUCUGAUUCUAUGUCUCCCUCCCUCUCUGCCCAUCACACUUGUGCUCUUUUUCUCUCAAAAAUAAACUUAAAAAAAAGUCCUGGCCAGAUAUCAACUCCUAAAAAGAAUCGAGGCAAUUUUUGUAGCAUAUUCUUUUACAGUUGUCGUACAUUUGCCAUGAAUGAAAUUGCCUUCCAGCGUUUGCUCCUUAACGGUAAUGAGUGCCUACUGUGAGCAAGGCGCCGUGCUGAGCACUGUGGUCAGGAGGGAAGUUUAAUCUCCUUAGUCCCACACUUAAAGCCUUUGGUGAUAGGGUUUCCACCUGCCAUUCCUACCCUGAGUCCUGAACCCUACUUGACAUGCCCUUGGUCCCUCACACCCCUCAGCCAGGUCUUCAGAGCAGGCCAGAGUCAUCUCCCUGCACUUUCUAUACCCUUCUCCUCACCCCUGCAGGUGUCACUGUCCCACCCUACAUAGCCUGGUCACCUGCUCCUGUAUCCCCCAACGGUAGCCACAGCUGGACGUGAGCUCCCAUCAUCAACCACUACCAGCCCCCCUGCUGUGCCCGUACUAAUCUCCACUUGUAUUUACGUGAUUUACGUACACUCGAUGACAUCUCUUGACUGGAGGAUGGUCCAGUUCAUCCUGUGUGUCAGUGACUUGCCCCCAUUAGAUAUGUAAGUACUCAUUGAAGGAAGGAGUCUUCUCUGCACCCACACUCACACUCCGGCCCCUCUCAUGCUUGUGGUUGAAAAGCAUCCUCUUACACGGUGUUCUGGGGACACACGGGAAAAGAGGGACACUUGGAGUGGCUUUCAGCAGGGGCCGUCUGCUUCUUUCUUUCUUGGCUCUGCGGUGCAAAUCCUCCCCGUCGCCGGGAGGGCUUUAUCCGGAGCACUCUGGACCCCUGAGCCGGCUGGAGGGCUGGGAUCACCUCGUGCUCCACCUGCGGCAGGUUUUGUGAGGCCGGUGGGUUAUUUAAUCUUCCUGUGGCGUCAUUUCCCCAUCUGUUGAGGAGGGAUAAUGUGUUUGAGGAUGACCUACCUCCCCGGCAGUCUUAGCGACUUAAUGCCGUGCGGUUCACUUUAACCCGGGUCAGCUGGGCACAAGGGGGCGGGCGAGCAGGCGCCCAGUCAGCCCCGCAGCCACAGAAUGGGUGCCCCGUGAGACCUGGGGCCUCGUGUUCUAGGUUGCCCCGGGCCCAGUGGCAGGCGGGCUCCCAUCAAGGGCUUGUGGGGUCUCCUCUCUCGGCUGGUUCAAGUGGCUGAGGUGGGGAGGAUGAGAUGGCAUCUGGAUGACUUCUGGGCUUGUGGUGCUGAAAGGGGAGAGGCCAGACUCCCGCGGAGGGCAUGGUUGCAACUGCCCCGGAGCGGCAGGAAAGUGGGCGCCAGGCCCCGGGGGGACCCUGCGACUGGGCCCACAUGGCCCGGCGAUCAGCUUUCCUUGGACUCAUCGAUGAGCUAGGGGAAGGUCAUUUGAUCCUCACAUUCUUAUGGCCACGAUCUUGGGAAGGUGGCCCUUUCUCUUUAAGAAGAACUGUGCUGGGCGCCUGGGUGGCUCAGUCGGUUAAGUGUCUGACUUUGGCUCAGGUCAUGAUCUCACAGCUCGUGAUUUCGAGCCCUGCAUCAGGCUCUCUGCUGUCAGCACAGAAUCCACUUUGGAUCCUCUGUCCCCCUCUGUCUCUCUGUCCCUCCCCCACUUGUGCUCUCUCUCUCUCAAAAAUAAACAUUAAAAAAAAAAAAAAAGCUGUGAGCUGCGAGGUCCAGAAGCAGUGUCCCGCGACGGAGGGGAGGCCCCAGUGUGGGGAAGAGGGGCUGAUUACUCCUUGGAUGACAUCCCUCAGCCCUGCUUCACUGGUGGCAUGCAGAUACGGCAAAAACGAAGAUGCUGAAGCUGGGAAAAUGUGGUUCCUGAUCUCAAAACCGUUUGCAAACUGUCCAGUCCGCUACACCAGCGGAAGAAGCAGCAGUGCCUCAGGAAGGUGAAGCAGGGAACUGCAUCCAGCUGCCCAGGAACCCUAGCAUGUACCCAGACCGAGGCAAG